CCUUGACAUCCAGAGAACUUAGCAGAGAUGCUUUGGUGCCUUCGGGAACUCUGAGACAGGUGCUGCAUGGCUGUCGUCAGCUCGUGUUGUGAAAUGUUGGGUUAAGUCCGCAACGAGCGCAACCCUUAUCCUUUGUUGCCAGCGGCUCGGCCGGGAACUCAAAGGAGACUGCCGGUGAUAAACCGGAGGAAGGUGGGGAUGACGUCAAGUCAUCAUGGCCCUUACGGCCAGGGCUACACACGUGCUACAAUGGCGCAUACAAAGAGAAGCGACCUCGCGGGAGCAAGCGGACCUCAUAAAGUGCGUCGUAGUCCGGAUUGGAGUCUGCAACUCGACUCCAUGAAGUCGGAAUCGCUAGUAAUCGUAGAUCAGAAUGCUACGGUGAAUACGUUCCCGGGCCUUGUACACACCGCCCGUCACACCAUGGGAGUGGGUUGCAAAAGAAGUAGGUAGCUUAACCUUCGGGAGGGCGCUUACCACUUUGUGAUUCAUGACUGGGGUGAAGUCGUAACAAGGUAGGCGUAGACGU
rnacentral:rRNA from 1 species